rfam:Trichobilharzia regenti genome assembly, scaffold: TRE_scaffold0001457
GUAUUGCUGAAGAGUCCCAAACUAGGACGAAACAGCUGUCCAGUAC